AAAUUAUGAGGUAGAGAAUGUGCUUCCGCGCACCCGUGUGGUCAAGAGAAAUGUGGGACACGGCACACCCACCAUAAUUU
rnacentral:ncRNA from 12 species